AGAGACAGCAGUAGCCGCGGGAAAACGAAGGGGGCUAGCGUUGUUCGGAUUUACUGGGCGUAAAGCGCACGUAGGCGGACUUUUAAGUCAGGGGUGAAAUCCCGGGGCUCAACCCCGGAACUGCCUUUGAUACUGGGAGUCUUGAGUUCGAGAGAGGUGAGUGGAAUUGCGAGUGUAGAGGUGAAAUGCGUAGAGAUCUGGAGGAAUACCGGUGGCGAAGGCGGCCCCCUGGUCCAUUACUGACGCUGAGGUGCGAAAGCGUGGGGAGCAAACAGGAUUAGAUACCCCAGUAGUCCCUGUCUCUUAUAC
rnacentral:rRNA from 1 species